rnacentral:rRNA from 1 species
AGUAACGGCGAGUGAAGCAGCCAAAGCUCAAUUUGAAAGCUCCUAACAAGGCGCAUUGUAAUUUGAAGAUGGUAUUCCGAGUUAGUCCUUUACCUCAGUUCCUUGGAACAGGACGCCAUAGAGGGUGAGAGCCCCGUGUGGUAUUGGUAGCUUUCUCAUGUGGUUUACCUUCGAAGAGUCGAGUUGUUUGGGAAUGCAGCUCUAAGUGGGUGGUAAAUUCCAUCUAAAGCUAAAUAUUGGCGAGAGACCGAUAGCGAACAAGUACUGUGAAGGAAAGAUGAAAAGAACUUUGAAAAGAGAGUGAAAAAGUACGUGAAAUUGUUGAAAGGGAAGGGAAUUGGACUAGACUUGGAUUUCUGUUAUCAGCAGUCUUUCGGGGCUGUGCACUAGCAGUUUUCUAGGCCAGGAUCUGUUUGGAGGCCAGGAUAAAACCCAAAGAAUGUGGCUCUUCGGAGUGUUAUAGCUUUGGUUGAAUACUGGCAUUCUGGACAGAGGACCGCGCUUCGUGCUAGGAUCCUGGCGUAAUAGUCCUAUUCCACCCGUCUUGAAACACGGACCA